rnacentral:rRNA from 1 species
GACGAACGCUGGCGGCGUGCUUAACACAUGCAAGUCGAGCGGUAAGGCCCUUUCGGGGGUACACGAGCGGCGAACGGGUGAGUAACACGUGGGUGACCUGCCCUCAGCUCUGGGAUAAGCCUGGGAAACCGGGUCUAAUACCGGAUAUGACUCCAUGACGCAUGUUGUGGGGUGGAAAGCCUUGUGCGGCUGAGGAUGGGCCCGCGGCCUAUCAGCUUGUUGGUGGGGUGAUGGCCUACCAAGGCGACGACGGGUAGCCGGCCUGAGAGGGCGACCGGCCACACUGGGACUGAGACACGGCCCAGACUCCUACGGGAGGCAGCAGUGGGGAAUCCUGCGCAAUGGG